rnacentral:rRNA from 1 species
AUUGAACGCUGGCGGCAUGCCUUACACAUGCAAGUCGAACGGCAGCACGGGAGCAAUCCUGGUGGCGAGUGGCGAACGGGUGAGUAAUAUAUCGGAACGUGCCCAGUCGUGGGGAUAACGUAGCGAAAGCUACGCUAAUACCGCAUACGAUCUAUGGAUGAAAGCGGGGGAUCGCAAGACCUCGCGCGAUUGGAGCGGCCGAUAUCAGAUUAGGUAGUUGGUGAGGUAAAGGCUCACCAAGCCGACGAUCUGUAGCUGGUCUGAGAGGACGACCAGCCACACUGGGACUGAGACACGGCCCAGACUCCUACGGGAGGCAGCAGUGGGGAAUUUUGGACAAUGGGCGCAAGCCUGAUCCAGCAAUGCCGCGUGCAGGAUGAAGGCCUUCGGGUUGUAAACUGCUUUUGUACGGAGCGAAAAGGCUUCCACUAAUACUGGGGGCUCAUGACGGUACCGUAAGAAUAAGCACCGGCUAACUACGUGCCAGCAGCCGCGGUAAGAC